rnacentral:piRNA from 1 species
UUGAACGUAUCUCGUGCCCUAGAGGCCUCCUU